AACAUUUUCUAGGAGGUCGAUAAUUUGUUGGGAAAUGUCAAUAUCAAUCAAUAACAUGUCCAAGAAUGGGCUGUGCUUAUUGGGAAAAGAUGGCCUCCACUCUAUCCAGUGACGCUUGUAGUCGUCCAGAAUUCAUAUUGAACAACGGUUCACCAGUGCCUAAAGCCCCAGUAACUUCUGGAAAUACAUAAUCUGCUUUCCAUCCAAAACGGAAAUCCACACCAGGACAUAAUCCAAGCGAUGUUUUAUUCCGGAUGCUGGAGAUACCAUCUCCGCCGAAACAAGACGUGAGCUUCCAUUUCCAACCUGUUGCCUGCAACUUAAAGCUAUGGCCUACACCAACCUGAAGAUUUAGAAAUUUUGUCACCGGGAUCUUCUUGGAAAGAAGGCGGACUUCAUGAUUCAAAGGCUCAUAUAUGAACUUCCAUCUCCGCUCAGGGGCUAAAGGUUUUAAGACCAACUUAGCCAGAUAUUCAUUGUAUGGGGCAUUGUAAAACUCCAAGUUAACACCAACUCGAUAGCCCUCAAUUUCUUUUCUGAACUUGAGAAAAAUCUCCGAAGGCAUCAGAUUGACAUUGUAAAGCUCAUCCCAUGAUUUAGGUUCUUCUCCACUUUGACUCAAACCGCCCUCCUCCAUUCUCGUACCCGAGAAUCAAUUCAAACUUGAGG
rnacentral:misc_RNA from 1 species